rnacentral:rRNA from 1 species
UACGUAGGGUGCAAGCGUUGUCCGGAAUUAUUGGGCGUAAAGAGCUUGUAGGCGGUUUGUCGCGUCUGCUGUGAAAUUUCGGGGCUCAACCCCGAACUUGCAGUGGGUACGGGCAGACUAGAGUGUGGUAGGGGAGACUGGAAUUCCUGGUGUAGCGGUGAAAUGCGCAGAUAUCAGGAGGAACACCGAUGGUGAAGGCAGGUCUCUGGGCCACUACUGACGCUGAGAAGCGAAAGCGUGGGGAGCAAACAGG